rnacentral:rRNA from 1 species
GUACGCGAGCUGGGUUUAGAACGUCGUGAGACAGUUCGGUCCCUAUCUGCCGUGGGCGCUGGAGAAUUGAGGGGGGCUGCUCCUAGUACGAGAGGACCGGAGUGGACGCAUCACUGGUGUUCGGGUUGUCAUGCCAAUGGCACUGCCCGGUAGCUAAAUGCGGAAGAGAUAAGUGCUGAAAGCAUCUAAGCACGAAACUUGCCCCGAGAUGAGUUCUCCCUGAGACUUUAAGUCUCCUGAAGGAACGUUGAAGACGACGACGUUGAUAGGCCGGGUGUGUAAGCGCAGCGAUGCGUUGAGCUAACCGGUACUAAUGAACCGUGAGGCUUAACCUUACAACGCCGAAG